rnacentral:misc_RNA from 1 species
CUUUUUUUUCUGAAAAAAAAAGAUGGCAUUUUUCUACUAGAAAUCUCAGUUACAUUAACUCUCCAUACAACAAGCUGACAACAAACUUAAGGAAGGGAAGAAAAAAAAAAGAAGCAAGCUCAUCAUCAAUUUUUGAAAGGAACGAUUUUACCACUUAGAUCUAAAUGAUGUGAUUCAGGCACAAGAUUUCCUUGAGCAUCAUACUCAAUCUUCCCAGAGAAAUUGAGCGGACGACACCGUUCACCCAUGAUGAUCGUCUUCCUCCAAACUGCUUCUUCACUUUCAUAAUCAUCAUCAUCAUCUUCUUGCAUCUUCCUCCAUGAAAUCAUCUUCACCAUCAAAUGAGCCUUACUGCUGAUGCCACUAUUAAGCUUAGACAGAAGUUUUUUCUCACUGGAUUCCGGAUCCUUUGCUCUAUCUGAUUUCUUGCUAUUGUGCGAAGAACACAGAAACAUGACAACAGAAAACAAACUGAACACUGCUAUGAUGAGGACAAGAGAAGAGCAGAGAGGGGUUGCUGAAAAUGGAAGGUUUUGCUUAGGAAGAAGGAUAAAGAUAUUCCUUGCCAUGAGUUAAAAGAAGAGAAAACAGAAGGGAACUCAGGG